CAGUAGCCGCGGUAAUACGAAGGGGGCAAGCGUCGUUCGGAAUUAUUGGGCGUAAAGGGUGCGUAGGCGGUUUGGUAAGUCUUGUGUGAAAUCUUCGGGCUCAACUCGAAGUCUGCACGAGAAACUGCCGGGCUUGAGUGUGGGAGAGGUGAGUGGAAUCUCCGGUGUAGCGGUGAAAUGCGUAGAUAUCGGAAGGAACACCUGUGGCGAAAGCGGCUCACUGGACCAUAACUGACGCUGAUGCACGAAAGCUAGGGGAGCAAACAGGAUUAGAUACCCGCGUAGUCCCUGUCUCUUAUAC
rnacentral:rRNA from 1 species